GAUUCUCACGCUGCUCAUGACAGACUGUGCGUCGUCGACACACCGGGUCGCUGCUGCAGCCUCUCUGCCCUGCAUGCAUGCUUCAAAGCCUCUGCAACGCCUCUCUGGAAAGGAUUUAAUGUUACUGCCGCACUGGAAUAACUUUCCUGUCCCCUUUUUUGCGCGCCUCGGGUCGAUUGCGCCCCGUCUUGUUUCGCCCGCAGUUUAAAAUCUAGCAGCUAGCUUCACGAUAAGGAGAGAACCAGCGCAGACAUCAUGCCGCUGAAUUCAAGUUUGGCGAGUAAAAACUACGACUAUGAGUACGACUCUCUGCAGCCGUAUUUCUACUACGAUAACGAGGAGGAGGAUUUCUACCCUCAGCAGCUUCAGCCUCCGGCACCGAGCGAAGACAUCUGGAAGAAAUUUGAACUGCUGCCGACCCCUCCCCUCUCCCCGAGCCGCCGGCCGUCCCUGUCCAGCCUCUUCCCCUCCGUCGCCGAUCAGCUGGAGAUGGUGACCGAGUUCCUGGGCGACGACGUGGUCAACCAGAGCAUCAUCUGCGACGCCGACUACUCGCAGACCUUCCUCAAGUCUAUGAUCAUCCAGGACUGCAUGUGGAGCAGCUUCUCCGCCGCGGCCAAGCUGGAGAAGGUGGUCUCCGAGCGGCUCGCUUCCCUCAACGCGGCGAGGAAGGAGCCGGCGGCCGGCGAGAGCGCGGAGCCCGCCGGUGCUGCCGCCGCCGCAGCUGCCUGGAGGCUAAACAGCAGCUACCUGCAAGACCUGAACACGUCCGCGUCGGAGUGCAUCGAUCCGUCUGUGGUUUUCCCUUAUCCGAUCGCCGAGACGCCCAAGCAGAGCGCAGCGUCGCCGCCUAGUAAGGAUUUGGGGCUGGACACGCCGCCCAACAGCGGCAGCAGCAGCAGCAGUUGUAGUGACUCAGAAGAUGAGGAUGGAGACGAUGACGAGGAAGAGGAAGAGGAGGAGGAGGAGGAGGAGGAAGAUGAGGAGGAGAUCGACGUGGUGACGGUGGAGAAGAGGCAGGCGGUAAAGCGGUGUGACCCCAGCCCGCCGGAGAACAGGCAUCCCAGCCCGCUCGUGCUGAAAAGGUGCCACGUCUCCACCCACCAGCACAAUUACGCCGCCCAUCCAUCCAUGAGGCACGAGCAGCCGGCUGUCAAGAGGCUGAAGCUGGAGAGCAGCAGCAGCAGCAGUGGAGCAGCAGCAACAGCAGCAGGAGUAGGAGGAGGCAGCAGUGGCCACAGCAGGGUCCUCAAACAGAUCAGCAGUAACCGCAAGUGUUCGAGCCCCCGGACGUCCGACACGGAGGACUAUGACAAGAGAAGGACUCAUAACGUGCUGGAGCGCCAGAGGAGGAACGAGCUCAAGCUGAGCUUCUUCGCCCUGCGGGACGAGAUCCCCGAGGUGGCCAACAACGAGAAGGCGGCCAAAGUGGUGAUCCUGAAGAAGGCCACAGAGUGCAUUUACAGCAUGCAGACGGACGAACAGAGACUCCUCUCACUCAAAGAGCAGCUGAGGAGGAAAAGUGAACUUUUAAAGCAGAGACUCGCACAGCUGCAGAGCUCUCGCGCUUAAAGUUUGAAUCAUAGACUUUUUUUGGCCUUUUUUUUUUUGUUUUGUUUUUUUAUGCAAGUUCAAGACUUUAGGGUGUACAGUUGUUGUUGCAUGUAAAUGCAAAAUGGAUAAAGUUGUUUGGAAUCUUGCUUGAUUUCAAUGUUGAAACUGCCUCAACUGAAGUUAUGGGUGGAUUAAAUAUUUAAAAGUUUAUUUUUAUUAAUAAAAUGUUAAAAACGGGGCUAUCUUGUUGAGGGCCCACACUAAAAUAUAAAUUUUUAUGUUUUGUAUAUAAUUAAUAUUUCCUAAGAAAAUGUAUUUUUGGAUCUCAAUUGUCUGGAUGUUCAGACCCAGUGUUUGUUUUUUCCAUUAUGUUCCUAGAUUCUUUUUGAAAUAUAAAAAAAAAAAAUGAGUCUGUUUGAAA